ensembl:lncRNA
CCGCGCCUGAACUUUGGCCCUGGGGCCGCUGACACCCGAGGGAGUCUGAGAGCGAUGACGUCUCCGCCGGUUUCAGCUGCACAACAGGAAAUGCUCCGGGCCUCCCCCUUCCUGCCCGGAGAAAGUGGGGCUCGCCGCUCCCGGGCCAGCCGAGACCCAGUUUCGGGCCGCGGCCCCGGCACCCGCAGAGCACCCAGGGGAGCAGAGGCUCGGGCCGGGCGUGGGAGGCGCGGGGACCCCGAAACCCGCCGGCUUGCUGAAUAAUGCUGACCUCAGAGGGCCGGGCGAUUUCUCUGCCUCGCACGAUGUUCAGCCUCUGCUCACAGAGCCCUGCUAGGAAACCUGCUUUAACCCCGCGUCUCGCUGCCACCUCCUUACUCUGUUGUGCAAACAUAGCUGUGUGUUUAGUGCACAAUACAACGCCCUGCACUCAAACCUCCAAGACGGAAUUCUUACCAGAAAAGCCUCGAAGUAGUCACGAUUUGAGUCGUUAUUUAGUUUGCAUCUUUCGAAGCUCUUGGUGGCAGCAUCAUGAGAAUGAAUUAGAGGAAACCAAGCCAGGAUUCAGGAGACAUGCUGUGCAGACAAUUCCAGUCAUCUUCAGAAAGAAGAAUAAAAGAAGCCCUGGAGUAAUGCUGUGGUUUUGAGAAUAAUGGGUGCAGGAUGGACUGUCAUCUGUCAUGCUUGGGAAGCACUGCUGAGUGACUGAGUUGGUGUGAGGGGGAGGGAGAAAGAAGGCGAAGGCUGCAGCUGGCGUGACAAGGUGGACAGGAGGACGUCGCUCAGAUAAGGAAG